rnacentral:misc_RNA from 1 species
CAUUAUUGUAAGGGGCUUCGGCCCCAAAGUAUAUUACCCUUGUCUAUGAGUACUACUGUUUCCUCGGCAGGCUUGCCUGCCAAUGGGGACCCUAUUAAACCUUUUUAUAUUGCUGUAACUGUACCUAAACAAAUAAUCAAAACUUUCAACAACGGAUCUCUUGGUUCUGGCAUCGAUGAAGAACGCAGCGAAAUGCGAUAAGUAGUGUGAAUUGCAGAAUUCAGUGAAUCAUCGAAUCUUUGAACGCACAUUGCGCCCUGUGGUAUUCCGCAGGGCAUGCCUGUUCGAGCGUCAUUCAACCCCCUCAAGCUCUGCUUGGUGUUGGGCGUUUGUCCUGCCUCUCGGUAUGGACUCGCCUCAAAAAUAUUGGCAGCCACCUCCCCGGCUUCGAGUGCAGCACAUUUGCGCCCGGUACUUGGGGGGUUGUGGUUCCCCAGAAGCACUUUUUUUCGGUUGACCUCGGAUCAGGUAGGGAUACCCGCUGAACUUAAGCAUAUCAAUAAGCGGAGGAAAAGAAACCAACAGGGAUUGCCCUAGUAACGGCGAGUGAAGCGGCAACAGCUCAAAUUUGAAAUCUGGCUCCCUUGGGGGUCCGAGUUGUAAUUUGUAGAGGGUGCUUUGGUGUUAGCUGUGGUCUAAGUCCCUUGGAACAGGGCGUCACAGAGGGUGAGAAUCCCGUAUGUGGCCAGCAGCUUUCGCCUUGUAAAGCCCCUUCGACGAGUCGAGUUGUUUGGGAAUGCAGCUCUAAAUGGGAGGUAAAUUUCUUCUAAAGCUAAAUAUUGGGCCAGAGACCGAUAGCGCACAAGUAGAGUGAUCGAAAAGAUGAAAAAGCACUUUUGGAAAAGAGAGUCAAAAAAGCACGUGAAAAUUGUUGAAAGGGGAAAGCGCUUGCAGCCAGGACUUGCCCCGUAGUUGCUCAUCCAGGGC